rnacentral:lncRNA from 1 species
GAUUGCUACUGUAAAAAUGCCCUGCACGGAGGCUGUAGCCAAUUCCACUCAAGUGAAAGGAUGUUUGUUUAUUCCUGGCCUCACUGAAAAUUACCAAGCUCUUUAUCUCGUUUUUUGUCUAGCAGAAGCUAAGAAAAGAGCUUAUUUUGUGACUGCAUCCGGACCUUGAGUUCUUUGGCUCUUGUGUGAGUGGAUGGUGACACCAGGCCAGCUGGGGAUUCUUCCCAGGCUGGGCUCACAGGCUGGGGCUGGGCACACGGAGCAGCUGCGGGAAAAGGAUCUGGACACCAGCCCCCCAGCGUGUCACCGGCAGGAAGGUGAGGUGGGAACAGAGUGACGUCCAUGCAUGUUCAGGACUAAGCCAGUGGAUCACAAACAUCCUGGAGAGCAGUGACUCUGUGAUUCCAUCACAAGAAUAUGAAGGACUGAGAAGAUCUCCAGCUCUGCCCAUUGCACCUUCCCAUUGAGAAGCAGCAUGGCACCCUGGUGGCAGGGGCUGAUACUCAGCCGGGCCAGGGUGCUCUCCUGUUAACCAUAACCAAGCUCACAGGACAUGGGAUGAGCCCACUGUGUGACACAGGGAGCGGGACACAGUCUGUUAAGUCUUGCACAGCCAUGCUCUGCCACGCAGGCAGGCCUUUCCUUGGCCUCCCUCUCCCUGUUCGUGCUCAUGUGAACAUCCACCUACGUGGAUAGACUGGGCUUUGGUUCAUUAUUGCUCUGUGAAUUCCUCGAACUUCCGCAUCUGCCCAACCUCCCCCACCCCAUUGUUUUCAUUGUGUUUCACCAAAUGGAAAUUCUAGAGUAAGCAUGUGAGUCCUCUCCCAAACUUGUUCACUGUUGAGAGUGCUAAAAUGCUAACCCCAGAUGCUAACUGAGGGGUAGGGUUACCUUAUCUUUAGAGCACUGCGAAUUGUAUGUUAAGUGGAACUUAAUGAAAAAAUAGUUAAUUGACCAACAUGAAUAUCCCCUGAACAGAAUCUCCCCUGAACAGAAUCCUACAAUGAAACUAAGGGAGAUAAAUAAAGCUGUUUACCUGAAAGCUCUCUCUAAUCAAGAUCCUUUGAAAUUUAUAAAACAUGGUCAAUAUUUGCACUGGACUUUGUAAAAAUAAAGCUUGAUAAGAGAAGAGUUUGAAGUGAAAUGCUGCCACUUUCUAUGCAAUAUUUGAUUUAAAUUUAAUUCCUAGAAACCUCAGAUGAAUGUGGUUCAUGUAUCAAAGCACUCAGCAUUAUUUAUCGCGGCCUUAAAUACACAGUGAGCUUACAUGUGAAUGAAUACAUAUAUUAUGUAUCUCUCUCUAUAUAUAUACUAUAUAGAUAAUAUAGUAUAUAUAUAUAUAUAGUGUAUAUAUACACUAUAUAUAUCGUGUAUACAUAUACUAUCUAUAUAGUAUAUAUGUAUAUGGUAUAUAUAUCUAUCUAUAGAUAGAUAGAUAGAUAUACUUAAAAAAACCCCAUUCCCUUAAGAGCAGUUAAGGGACACCAUAUAUCAAAUUUCUUGGCACGUUGUGAAUAUUAAUAUCCCCAAAGUGUCAAUGUCAAAUGAUUUGACUUGAAAUCACUAAGCUUGGUAAUCUCACUAUUUUUAAACAAGGCCUAACAUCUUUUAAUCUUGAAUACCAGCAAGUUCUCAGACUUCAGUUGUUUAUUUUCUCUUUUCUUUCCUUUAAAAAAUUCUGACAAGCUCUUUUCCUUGACACAAAGAAAGCGUAUAAAUUUUAUUUUGGUUUGAACAACAGAAAUUUGCCUCUCAGAAUUCUGGAGAUUGGAAAGUCUAAGGACUAAGCUGCUGGCCAAUUUAGUUCUUAGUGAGGACUCUCUUCCUGGCUUGUAGAUGGCUGCCUUCUCACUGCAUCCUCAGAGAGAGAGAGAGAGAGGGCUCUUGUGUCUCUUCCUUUCUCAUAAAGCGUCAGCUCUCUUGUAUUAGGGUCCCACCCAUAAUUACCCCCUUAUAUGCCCCAUCUACAAAUAGAGUCACAUUGUGGGUUAGAGCUUGGCAGUGAAUAAUUAUGGAGGUUAUUGUUGGCUUUAGAAUUUCGUGGUAGAAACAAUAAAUUGCCUUUGUGUUUACGUUUUAUUUUAUUUUUUUAACAUUAACAUGUAUUUGCAACAAUGAAAACAGCAGGUGAAUACAUUCUGGGUAGGGGAAAAAGUUAGAGGAGUGCUAUCCAGAAGUUAUAUUUCCUAGGAAUAUGGGGAAUAAAACAUUCAAUAUUGGUGGUUCUAAUAGAUGAAUUAAAUUUAAUUUGAUGUGGAGUGGCCAUGUCCCCUGUCUCGGGAUGCCGUGUGAAGCCUGGCUCUUGUGACAGCUGUUUAGAUUUGCUGAAAGAUGUUUUAAGUGUCCUAGGAAAGAGGUUUCCAUUCAUUCUAGAACUGAUAGUUUUCUCUUAAAGUGUUAAUUUACAUUUUAAUGUUGAUGUGGUAUCCAUCUCAGGUUAAUGUUUGGCACUAGGUAAUUGAAUUUUUAAAAAUCUCAUUUUAUUUUCUGUCUGCUUUUGGGAGAGAGAAGUGGUUAGGUUUUUAUUACAGGAAGGAUUUUUCUCUUUCUCUAUUAUAAUACCUGAAAGCAAAUAUAUAUAAGCUAUACAUGAAGUCAUUACAAUUCUUUUUUCUCAUUUUAUUUUCACUUUUGGGAAAGAUUGCUGCCAAUAUUUGUGAGAUCUCUUUUCAGUUCUAUCUUUUACUUCUGCAUGUCCGUUAUCUUAGCCAUGCAAUGUUUAGUUUGAGGCAGUUUCACCCAAGGGACAUACCUUAGAAUAGACUCUCAUGGCCAGUAAUGAAUGACUGAUGGAGGGAACAGCAGUUUAUAGGUUUUUUGUUGUUUUUAAGGAGAAAAAUUAACACCCUUCAUCAAACCUCCUCUUUCUUCCUUCUCUCCUCCCCUCCAUCUCACCCUGCCUCCCCUUGGGAUCUUACUCCUGUGAUUAGUUUGGGUUCCACACAAAGAAAGAUUUAUUACUUUAAUGUCUUUGUGAUUUAGUUUUAUGUGAUCUUCCUAGGGACACCAGGGAGUACACGCUCCCCUUUCUGAAUAUGUUGUAAGCUCCUUUGAGGCAAAAAUGAAUGUUCCUGUGUUACAAGAACAGAGCAGCCCUUAUCAUCUUCUCGAAUCUUAUCUUUCUGAGUUAAACAUUUGGCAUCAGUGACGAAGUAAGACCAGACAUUGAGGAUGAGACGUCAAAUCCAAAUAGAAUCUUCAACUCGGAGGCACCAGUCUCUCUCACUUGAGGAAAGAAUGCGAAGGAAGGAAUGGCCUGACUUCCUCAUGUGUGCCCUGUUUCUCGGUAGGCACCAUGUGGGGGCUGCCACACAUGUGCCGAAGCUUUGGGAACGUUCCGUUUAAAUACCAAUUUCGAUGCCAAUGCCUAACAUGGAGCACAAAUAUCCAGAGGUAGAAGCUGAGAACAAGGAUGAAGGAAGAAUCAAUGAUGAUUGGGAGAUACUGAGCCUGAGUGAAGGAGGAGAUGGAAAUUAUCACUGGCAGGAGCCGGGAGUGAUGUGAGGGGUUGAUGAGUGAA